GACGAACGCUGGCGGCGUGCUUAACACAUGCAAGUCGAAUGGAAAGGCCCUGCUUUUGUGGGGUGCUCGAGUGGCGAACGGGUGAGUAACACGUGAGUAACCUGCCCUUGACUUUGGGAUAACUUCAGGAAACUGGGGCUAAUACCGGAUAGGAGCUCCUGCUGCAUGGUGGGGGUUGGAAAGUUUCGGCGGUUGGGGAUGGACUCGCGGCUUAUCAGCUUGUUAGUGGGGUAGUGGCUUACCAAGGCUUUGACGGGUAGCCGGCCUGAGAGGGUGACCGGCCACAUUGGGACUGAGAUACGGCCCAGACUCCUACGGGAGGCAGCAGUGGGGAAUAUUGCACAAUGGGCGGAAGCCUGAUGCAGCAACGCCGCGUGCGGGAUGACGGCCUUCGGGUUGUAAACCGCUUUCGCCUGUGACGAAGCGUGAGUGACGGUAAUGGGUAAAGAAGCACCGGCUAACUACGUG
rnacentral:rRNA from 1 species